GAUGAACGCUGGCGGCGUGCCUAAUGCAUGCAAGUCGAGCGAACAGACGAGGAGCUUGCUCCUCUGACGUUAGCGGCGGACGGGUGAGUAACACGUGGAUAACCUACCUAUAAGACUGGGAUAACUUCGGGAAACCGGAGCUAAUACCGGAUAAUAUAUUGAACCGCAUGGUUCAAUAGUGAAAGACGGUUUUGCUGUCACUUAUAGAUGGAUCCGCGCCGCAUUAGCUAGUUGGUAAGGUAACGGCUUACCAAGGCGACGAUGCGUAGCCGACCUGAGAGGGUGAUCGGCCACACUGGAACUGAGACACGGUCCAGACUCCUACGGGAGGCAGCAGUAGGGAAUCUUCCGCAAUGUGCGAAAGCCUGACGGAGCAACGCCGCGUGAGUGAUGAAGGUCUUCGGAUCGUAAAACUCUGUUAUUAGGGAAGAACAAAUGUGUAAGUAACUAUGCACGUCUUGACGGUACCUAAUCAGAAAGCCACGGCUAACUACGUG
rnacentral:rRNA from 1 species